rnacentral:miRNA from 4 species
AAACAUCUGGUUGGUUGAGAGA